AACAAACGCUGGCGGCGUGCCUAAUACAUGCAAGUCGAACGGGGAAAGCUUUCGGGUGAGUACUAGUGGCGCACGGGUGAGUAACGCGUGGAUAAUCUGCCUUAGAGUGGGGGAUAACUAGUCGAAAGAUUAGCUAAUACCGCAUAAGACCACAAGAACUGCGGUUCAAGGAGUCAAAGGUUUUUCGCUCUAAGAUGAGUCCGCGUAAGAUUAGCUAGUUGGUAGGGUAACGGCCUACCAAGGCGACGAUCUUUAACUGGUCUGAGAGGAUGAUCAGUCACACUGGAACUGAGACACGGUCCAGACUCCUACGGGAGGCAGCAGUAGGGAAUAUUGCACAAUGGAGGAAACUCUGAUGCAGCGACGCCGCGUGAGUGAUGAAGGCCUUCGGGUCGUAAAGCUCUGUCGCAGGGGAAUAACACAAUGAAGGUACCCUGUAAGAAAGGAUCGGCUAACUUCGUGCCAGCAGCCGCCGUAAAAC
rnacentral:rRNA from 1 species